rnacentral:rRNA from 1 species
UACGAAGGGGGCUAGCGUUGCUCGGAAUGACUGGGCGUAAAGGGCGCGUAGGCGGUUUGCACAGUCAGAUGUGAAAUUCCUGGGCUCAACCUGGGGGCUGCAUUUGAUACGUGUAGACUUGAGUGGGGAAGAGGGUCGUGGAAUUCCCAGUGUAGAGGUGAAAUUCGUAGAUAUUGGGAAGAACACCGGUGGUGUAGACGGCUUUCUGGACCGUAACUGACGCUGAGACACGAAAGCGUGGGUAGCAAACAGG